GUAGGGAAUAUUGGACAAUGGGCGAAAGCCUGAUCCAGCAAUGCCGCGUGAGUGAAGAAGGCCUUAGGGUUGUAAAGCUCUUUCGGCGGGGAAGAUGAUGACGGUACCCGCAGAAGAAGCCCCGGCUAACUUCGUGCCAGCAGCCGCGGUAAUACGAAGGGGGCUAGCGUUGUUCGGAAUCACUGGGCGUAAAGGGCGCGUAGGCGGCUUGGCAAGUCAGGUGUGAAAGGCCUGGGCUCAACCCUGGAACUGCACUUGAGACUGCCUCGCUUGAGUCCGGGAGAGGAUGGCGGAAUUCCCAGUGUAGAGGUGAAAUUCGUAGAUAUUGGGAAGAACACCGGUGGCGAAGGCGGCCAUCUGGACCGGUACUGACGCUGAGGCGCGAAAGCGUGGGGAGCAAA
rnacentral:rRNA from 1 species